rnacentral:rRNA from 1 species
GACCUACCUUCGAGUGGGGGAUAACGUCCCGAAAGGGACGCUAAUACCGCAUAACAUCCUGCCUUUGAACAGGCGGAGAUCAAAGCCGGGGAUCGUAAGACCUGGCGCUUGAUGAGGGGCCCGCGUCUGAUUAGCUAGUUGGUGAGGUAAUGGCUCACCAAGGCGACAAUCAGUAUCCGGCCUGAGAGGGCGGACGGACACACUGGGACUGAGACACGGCCCAAACUCCUACGGGAGGCAGCAGUGGGGAAUUGUUCGCAAGGGGCGCAAGCCUGACGACGCACCGCCGCGGGGAGGAUGAAGGUCUUCGGAUUGUAAACUCCUGUUGCUCGGGACAAAAAGCUUCAACUUAAUACUUCAAAGUCUGACGGUCCCGGGUGAGGAACCCCCGGCUAACUCUGUGCCAGCAGCCGCGGUAAUACAGAGGGGGCAAGCGUUGUUCGAAAUUACUGGGCGUAAAGGGCGCGUAGGCGGCCUGUUAAGUCGAACGUGAAAUCCCCGAGCUCAACUCGGGAACUGCGUCCGAUACUGGUAGGCUUGAAUCCGGGAGAGGGAUGUGGAAUUCCAGGUGUAGCGGUGAAAUGCGUAAAUAUCUGGAGGAACACCAGUGGCAAAGGCGGCAUCCUGAACCGGUAUUGACGCUGAGGCGCGAAAGCCAGGGGAGCAAACGGGAUUAGAUACCCCGGUAGUCCUGGCCCUAAACGAUGAA